rnacentral:lncRNA from 1 species
UUUGAACGGUGGAUUUUCCAUCUUGGACAUUAGAUCCACAACAAAAGAGAGGCAAAAAAAAGUGAACCAGGAAAAAAAUUAAAGUUGAGAAACAGGGUUUCUCAUAACUCCCUAUCAUCGUCUUCCCUCAUCAUAUUUUCUCUCUCAGAAAUGAAAAAACCUUUACAACUAAAAACACUCAACCUUGCUUCAUCUCUCAACUCUUAACAACCCAUGUCCU